UCCCUGCUGGCUCAGACGGUAAAGAAUCUGCCUGCAAUGCAGGAGACCUGGGUCCAUCCCCGGGUUGGGAA
rnacentral:tRNA from 1 species